GGAACAAACAAAGUUAAAAGGAGUCGGAAUUGAUGUCGGCUGUGUGGCAGAAUUUUUCGUUUAAGUUCUAAAAGUUUGUGCCAAUAUCGAAUCAAUAUCUGUAUCGGCUGAUAUCGAAGGCUACAAUAUCUGUAUCGUAUCGGAAGUAAAAAAAAACAGUUGUAUCGGGACACCCCUAACGCUAAGCUGAGUUUCGACACUCUCGGUCUGUAAUCGAUCAUGUUCAUCAGAAACUCCCGCAGCCUGUAACUGAAUCAAUAUUUUAAAGUUUGAGAGAAAAUUCAGGGUUCUGACAGGAUGUAAAUAAGAGUGAAAGGACUUCAGUUCUGCUCCGGCUCCAACAUGAUUUUCAUGGUUUCUUGUUUUCAGACUCACACACACACAUACCCACCCUCUUGCUGCUCGUAAUGUCAGGUUAGGACAUGAGGUGUUCAGUCAGCAGGGGGCAGGCUAGUUUAAACGGAUGGAUUUACCUGUUCUCAGUCUGUUUUAUCUCUCUCUCUCUCUCUCUCUCUCUCUCCCUGCCUCCUCCUCUCUGUGUCGAUCUUUUUCGCGGCCUGGUGGACAAUUCAAACACAAACACAGCACAAGCAUUAAAAUGGAAAAAAGGAACAAUAAUAAUGUACAAAAAGACUGUAAGAGAAUUUGAAGUAUAGUAUUACAGAUUAAUUUUGUAUUGUAUUUAUUGUGUAUAAUGACACUUUUUAAAAAGAAAUGUACAUUUAGUAAAACUGUAAAUUAAACCUUGCUUCUUUUAUGAAACAUUUCUCAUCCUCCUGUCAUUUGUGCAGCGGUUUUGUGGCGGGCGCAUUCCUCAGCAUGACUAACGGUGACGGAGGAGUGCGGUAUCAAAGUUUAGGAGGGGAUGGUGGGGUGUGUUCUCCAUCCGGCAGCCAGCAGGUGG